UUUUCAGAUGGUAGUACAGCAGAUCACUUGAUGCAUGCCGAGACGGAAAUUCACAUUCCUACAACUUGGGAAAGUAUCAACAUCUUACAUUAAACAAUGGACUAGAAGAUUCUGAUAAUAAUAAUGGUUUUAUGCAAUAUGGCAGUAUAAUAGUAGAUCACACAAGGCAUGCUGAGACAUUUAUUAACAUUUUCGGAAUUUGGGAAAGUUUCAACAUCCCACAUUGAACAUGGACUUGAAGAUUCUGAUAAUAAUAAUGAUUUUAUGCAAUGUACUUGUAAUGAAUAUAAAAUGUAAUUGAUAGUAAAUUAAUAGUAGUGUAUCAAUUGAAAUUUGUGAAAAAUAUGAAUAUAGUAUUGGUAAUCAAAA